GCCAUUUUACUCUUUGGGCAAUUGAAAAGGUUUUUCUUGGCUGCAUCUACUCCACUUAGAUACCUGGGUUUCUGCAUGUACUUCUUGGACUAGAAGAAGCAUAAGAUCUCUUCAGAAGUUGGAGCUAAUGUGGCAAUGGGGCAAUCAUUCCAGAGAAAGAACCUGGGAAAAUGGAGAAGGCUUUCAUGUACUGAAGGUCAAAAAGUCUGGAAUCUAUCAAAUAAAUUAAGUGCAUGCCUACAGUAAAAGCAUCCUGCCACCAGCUCUAUCCCUUUCAAACGAUGGUGGGUUGAAGUAGGAUGGAGAGCUGAAGGGAAAGCAUGCCCCAUCUAAGUCAAGCAAAACAUCUGGAAGUGGCUACCUCGAAGUCUGGUUUCAGUCUAAAACAUCAGUUUAUUUCAUAGAAAAGUUAAGCAAACAACACUACACAGAGAAGAACAUCUUCCCAGUGCUCUCUUUGUUUGACUCGCAGGCUCAGUGGGGAUUCUGUAAGCAUACUGGCAACUUAUGGCAGACCAGUACGGCUACAACCUGGAUAACUGGCACAUGGAAGAUAUCGAAUUUUAGUCAAUUUUUUUAAUGAAAUCUUCAUAAUUUCACAAGGAAGAAGCAUCUUUGACCACCUGAAACCUGAGAUACUGCUUCUGCCUUUGUUCAAGGUAAUUUGAAUCAUUACAGAGCCUUACAACAGAGCUCAGAGACACCUUACCAGGGAAGAAAUGCCUGCCUAGAGAAGUAUUCCAUCUAUUGACUCCUCUGUGAAAUCCUAUAAAAUAUGAACUUUCAUUUCUACCCAAGAGAACUUUUACAAUCUUUUCUCCAAUGCCUGAUGAAGGGUGUUUGUGCCCAAAAUCUUGCAAUUAUUAUUAUUUAUUUAUUUAUUUUGCAAAAAUCUAGUUGGUCUAAUAAAAGACAUAACCUCUACUAUGAGUCCUGAAUUCUUACCUCUG